CCUACGGGAGGCAGCAGUGAGGAAUAUUGGUCAAUGGACGAGAGUCUGAACCAGCCAAGUAGCGUGAAGGAUGACUGCCCUAUGGGUUGUAAACUUCUUUUAUAUGGGAAUAAAACGUUCCACGUGUGGGAUUUUGUAUGUACCAUAUGAAUAAGGAUCGGCUAACUCCGUGCCAGCAGCCGCGGUAAUACGGAGGAUCCGAGCGUUAUCCGGAUUUAUUGGGUUUAAAGGGAGCGUAGGUUGAUUGUUAAGUCAGUUGUGAAAGUUUGCGGCGCAACCGUAAAAUUGCAGUUGAAACUGGCAGUCUUGAGUACAGUAGAGGUGGGCGGAAUUCGUGGUGUAGCGGUGAAAUGCUUAGAUAUCACGAAGAACUCCGAUUGCGAAGGCAGUUCACUGGACUGCAACUGACACUGAGGCUCGAAAGUGUGGGUAUCAAACAGGAUUAGAUACCCGAGUAGUC
rnacentral:rRNA from 1 species